GUUGAGCAGCUCAUGAAUGAUGGGUUUUCUGGGUGUUUGGUUAGGUCGAGGCAUCAACCAAUCAGGUGGCGGACCAGGAGAUGCCGAUGUAUAAUCUUCCAUCAAAGAUCCUUUGCCGUGUGCUCAAUGUCCAAUUGAAGGCUGAACCGGACACUGAUGAGGUGUUUGCCCAAGUGACCCUGCUUCCUCUAAAAGAAGAUGAGAAUGAGGCGGAGAAAGAACCUAUGCCU